rnacentral:rRNA from 1 species
GACAGAGGGUGCAAACGUUGUUCGGAUUUACUGGGCGUAAAGGGCGCGUAGGCGGCCUUGUCAGUCAGGCGUGAAAGCCCCGGGCUCAACCUGGGAACGGCGCUUGGGACGGCGAGGCUGGAGUUCGGGAGAGGAGAGUGGAAUUCCCAGUGUAGAGGUGAAAUUCGUAGAUAUUGGGAAGAACACCGGUGGCGAAGGCGGCUCUCUGGACCGACACUGACGCUGAGGCGCGAAAGCGUGGGGAGCAAACAGG